rnacentral:rRNA from 1 species
GACGAACGCUGGCGGCGUGCUUAACACAUGCAAGUCGAACGGAAAGGCCCCAGCUUGCUGGGGUACUCGAGUGGCGAACGGGUGAGUAACACGUGGGUGAUCUGCCCUGCACUCUGGGAUAAGCCUGGGAAACUGGGUCUAAUACCGGAUAGGACCGUGCUUUAGUGUGUGCGGUGGAAAGUUUUUCGGUGCAGGAUGAGCCCGCGGCCUAUCAGCUUGUUGGUGGGGUAUGGCCUACCAAGGCGGCGACGGGUAGCCGGCCUGAGAGGGUGUACGGCCACAUUGGGACUGAGACACGGCCCAGACGCCUACGGGAGGCAGCAGUGGGGAAUAUUGCACAAUGGGCGCAAGCCUGAUGCAGCGACGCCGCGUGGGGGAUGACGGCCUUCGGGUUGUAAACCCCUUUCGGCAGGGACGAAGCUUUUGUGACGGUACCUGCAUAAGAAGCACCGGCUAACUACGU